UCCUACGGGUGGCUGCAGUGGGGAAUAUUGGACAAUGGGCGGAAGCCUGAUCCAGCCAUGCCGCGUGUGUGAAGAAGGCCUUUUGGUUGUAAAGCACUUUAAGCGAGGAGGAGGCUACCUGGAUUAAUACUCUAGGAUAGUGGACGUUACUCGCAGAAUAAGCACCGGCUAACUCUGUGCCAGCAGCCGCGGUAAUACAGAGGGUGCGAGCGUUAAUCGGAUUUACUGGGCGUAAAGCGUGCGUAGGCGGCUGAUUAAGUCGGAUGUGAAAUCCCUGAGCUUAACUUAGGAAUUGCAUUCGAUACUGGUCAGCUAGAGUAUGGGAGAGGAUGGUAGAAUUCCAGGUGUAGCGGUGAAAUGCGUAGAGAUCUGGAGGAAUACCGAUGGCGAAGGCAGCCAUCUGGCCUAAUACUGACGCUGAGGUACGAAAGCAUGGGGAGCAAACAGGAUUAGAUACCCGUGUAGUCUG
rnacentral:rRNA from 1 species